rnacentral:rRNA from 1 species
GACGAAGGAUGCAAGCGUUAUCCGGAUUCAUUGGGUUUAAAGGGAGCGUAGGUGGUUUAUUAAGUCAGUGGUGAAAGCCGGUCGCUUAACGAUCGAAUUGCCAUUGAUACUGGUAAACUUGAGUACAGAUGCUGUGGGCGGAAUAUGACAUGUAGUGGUGAAAUACAUAGAAAUGUCAUAGAACACCGAUUGCGAAGGCAGCUCACAAAACUGUAACUGACACUGAGGCUCGAAAGUGUGGGGAUCAAACAGG